GUUGUGCAGGGUGUUGUAGACAAUAAAGUUUAGAACUUACAUGUUGGAAUGCUAAUCUGUGUGAUGAAUUCCAUUGUUUACAGCUUAUGUUGGGUGAUAUUGUAAUUUCUGUUGAGAUAGCAGUAAGACAAGCAGAGGAAAGAGGGCACACUCUUCUUGAUGAGAUCUGAAUCCUCAUGGUUCAUGGUUUGUUACAUCUUUUGGGAUUUGAUCAUGAAAUAAGCGAAGAGGCUGAAGUAGAAAUGGAAAGAGAGGAGGAAAUCCUUUUAAGAAGUCUUGAUUGGAAGGGAAAAGGGCUAAUAAAGAGUGCAUGUGAUGCUGAAACAAACUCAAAUUUUCACCAAGACAGUUCAGAUGG